AAGAAAGUAAAGUGAUUUCUUUUGCUUUUCUUUCCCAAAAGCAUAAACUUAUUUGAUUUUCAACAGCCAAAAACAUUGGAUAACGUUUUAUUUCCUGGGAAUGAAAAAUAUUUUCAUUGAAUUACCAAAAGCAUUUCCAGUGCUAAUCUUCACUGGGAAGAUGGUGAGAUUUUGGCUUCUGUAAUGGUGCUGCACAAGGAAGAUGGAGCCACAAUCUAUUCACUUUGAAACUCUCCUCCAUCAAAGUUUCUUCUCCUGAGGACGAGGAGCAGUUUCAAGAGGAAGGCCAGAGGAUCUUUUGCAAAACCUGUAGAUUUAUCCUGUACCUGAGGAGAUUACCAUGAGGCUGACUAUAUUGAAAUAACUAUCCACUAAUUGUUUUUUUUUUUUUUUUUUUUUUUUUUUUUUUUUUUUUUUUUUUUUUUUUUCUCUACAAGAGAAACACUGGCUUUGGCCCAGGCCCCUUGUUCUAAUGCUUAAGAAUUAAUAAUCCUGACAGUAGAAUUAAGUAUUUAUAUUAGAUAGACUGAAUGCAGAAGGGAGAAAAUAAUACUGUCAGCCAUGUUUUUCAG
ensembl:lncRNA